rnacentral:lncRNA from 1 species
CUAACCCCACUCCCCCUCCCAACUUUAACCCCGCACGCAUCCCGAGCCCUCACCUUUUUCUUCUUUAUCAAUCAUUAACCCCACUCCCCUCCUAACUUUAACCCCGCACGCAUCCCGAGCCCUCACCUUUUUCUUCUUUAUCAAUCAUUAUCUUCUUAUCCCACCUACUCCAACCAAACACUUUUUUUCACUAUCCUAGACUAACUCCAACCUCCAAUCAAACACAAAAAAAUUUUAACACCAUUUUAACCCUGAACUUAACCCUAUCCCUGGAAUAACUACUUUUUCUUAACCCCGAACCAAACGGUGGCCUAGAGUUAAAAUCUGUUAAUUAACUCUGUUAUCUUUAUAAAAUUACUAUUUUGCCCUUUCAAAUAUACCCUUCCAUCAUCAUUGACUUUCUUAUUUGCCCUUAAAGUCAGAGACACAAAAAGUAUUUUGACUUUUGGUCUUUUCCAAUAUAUCCCUCUAUCAUCACCAACAUUUCUUAUUUGCCCUUAAGUUAAGGGCAAAAUUUGUAUUUUAUUUUUUUUAACUGUGAUAGAUAUUUAACUUACGUUUAACCCAAGUUAACUUAACGGGAGAUAACUGCAGGGGUAUUUUGCAAUAACGGUGGAACAUAUGAGGGGUAUUUUAGAAAGAAAAAAAAGUAGGGAUAAAUCGGAUAUUUUCAAACGUAUGAGGGGUAUAUAGGCAAUUAUCCCUAUUUAAAAAUAGCCGUUUACAUAAUAAUAUAUGCUAGUUUUUAUAUUUAUAUGUAUACAAUUUUUUUAAAAAAGUAUAAAAAUUUUUAUUUUUAUUUUUUUAGAAAGGAGCAAAUUUUCUGUUCUUUUCCUUUCAUCUAUAUAUAUAAUAUUUUGGUAACAUGGUAUCAGUACAAAUACUCAAUUUUUAAUAAAGGGUUAAUUGCAUACACGUCCCUGCAAACAUAGUGAAUUACAGAUAUAUCCCUGUAAAACUCAAUUUUCAUAAGUUGUCCCUGCAAAAUCCUAAUGUAUGCAGAUAUGUCCCUACCGUUAAGGUCUGUUAGAGAAAUUUCGUUAACCAUAAUUAAAAUACUUAACCAUGGUUAAUUAAUAACGUGAAUUGACUGUUUUACCCUUCUUCCUCUUCAUUCUCUUCCUCUUUAUCUUCCUCUUCAAUGGCCGUCGUCGUUAUCGCUGGCGAGGGAGGAGAUGGGGCGGGCGAUCACGGUGGAGAUAGAGCUUCGCGGUGGAGGCGCUCGGCUGCGGAGGCACCGAAGAAGGAGGAGGAGCUCCGCCGGGAGUCGAGGAGCUUCGCGGCGGAGGCGUCGGAGGAGGAGAAGGAGGAGGGAAGUGCGGUUUUGGGGACGAGGUGGAGCGGGGCGCAGGACGAGUGCGGCGCGAGGAGCCGGGGGAGUUGGCGGCUGCGCCGGCGUGGGGCUGGCGCUGCAGCAGCUGCGCGGCGAAGCCGAGGUUCGGGUCGGCGGCUGCACGUGCUGCCUUGACGUGGUGGAGCACGACGUCGAAGGGGAUCGCGUGGCGCCACAUGAGGUAGGCGACGACGAUGGCCGUGGAGCGCGAGGAGCCUCGGACACAGUGGAGGGGGCCGCGACCUCCUCCUCCUCCUCCUUCACCGCCGCUGCUGCGAAGGUCCUCGAGGAAGUCGAAGGCGUCGUAAAGGACGGAGGAGCGCCGUCCCGCUCGUUCGGCCCCAUGGCGGUUCCAAUCGCUACGCCUCCUUCCGCUCGGAGUGCUGGAUCAUCGUCGCCGCCUCGUCAUUCUGCGACGUCGCUGCCGCCGCCCGCUCCGGUAGCUCGUGAAGGAAGAGAAAGAGAAAAAGGACAUUUUUGUGAGGGUAUUUAUGCAAAAUACCAACUGGAUCUUUUGGAGGGAUAUAUUUGUGAGGGCAAAAUGGUCAUUUCACAUGAAAACUGUUAAAAAAUAAACAGUUCACUAACGGAUUCUAGCCAGAAGGACAUAUCUGCAUACAUUAGGCCUUUUGCAGGGACAACUUAUGAAAAUUGAGUUUUGCAGGGAUAUAUCUGCAAUUCACUAUAUUUGCAGGGACGUUAUGCAAUUUAACCCUUUAAUAAAUAACAUAUAAAAAAGAAAACGCUCCCUUACAUCUGUUAUAAGGGGGAUCGGUGUACAGCUUACACCUUUGAUCCAAAGGUUGAUACAACAUUUUUGGAAGUUUAAUGAAAAUAAAAUGAUAAGGCCUCAAAUCAAAAAAAAAAAUCUAUAAAUAACUCUACAAAAUUUGUAUUUGCAAGAUUGGCUCUAUCUCCGUCAUGUAAGCGCCACGCGAGUGUGGAUGACGGCGUAGUUUAAGUUGAACACGUUGAACCAUUCACUGUAUUUGGACAGGGUGAAUGGUUCACCGUGUUCCUUUAUUUUUCCACCAUGGUAUUAUAUAAUAUUUAGGAUUUAAGAUUUAGGAAGAACAUGGUAAACUAUUCACUGUAUCCAAACACGGUAAAUAGUUUACUAUGUACAACUUAACCUAACAAUACAACAGAAUUAUGUUAAAGGGAUAUAUUUUUAGGAUACUUUUGUGUAAGUAUCCUAUUUAUGCCCUUUUUUUUUAAAAAAAAUCUACUAAGGUCUAAAUAUAAAGUCCAAUCCAAUAAAAAACAAAAAGUUUUUCUACUCAACCAACCCCACCCAGCCCACUCGAUCCGAUUACAAAUAGAAAAGGAAAAAAAAAAAAAAAAUUGAUUACCAUCUCCCCUUCUCCUUCUCCGCCGUUGCAGUCGACAAGCCAGGGUUCCAGCGGCUGGAGUUUGCCCAAGGAUCUCGCAGGGACUGUAGAGGGUUACGAUCGCCACGUGUCCCUCCGCCACAGAUCGCUGGAGGAGUGGGUGCCAAACAUCAAAGCGGCCCUACAUAUCGCUACCCCACAUAUAGCAACACUUUUAAAAAUUGUCAGUAAUUUAGCAAGCAGUAUUUUUUUGACUUAUACCGACAUUUAAAAGUGUCGCUAUAUACCUUUUUGUUGUAGUGCUACCGCUACACUCACGUGGCGCUUGCGCUGGGNUUAGUAGAUUUAUUUUUAAGUUUUGGCAUAAAUAGAACACUUAUACAAAAGUGUCCCAAACAUGUGUCCCUAUAACCUAAUUCUGUUGUAGUGCAUAUCUAAUAGAUAAUUAUGCAAAACUUUAAAAUACAAAACAAAAAAACUUCUUUUCUCAUGGAUGAAAGUAAAGCAUUAGAAUUGAAGAAUAUGAUAAAUUAUCUUCGAUUAUUAUUUUUUUCAAAUGUUCAAAUAGAAAUAAGAAGUAUUGUUGUGUUUUAAACUUCAGAAAAUAAUAAAAGAUCUUUUUUCAAAAAUAGUUUUUAAUUAGUAACUUCAUUAUUGCAUAGAAAAAAAAAAAAAUCAAGACGUAGAUAAAAAUAUAUAAUAAUUAAUUAGCUUAAAUACUAGAUCAAAGUAGGCUAAAGUUAAGAAACCCCUUUUCUAAAUAUCUACUUUUUUAUUUUUCAACUCUAACUUUUAGAAACUUAUAUUUACUCCUCUCAAAAUUUCAGAAGUAUUUUUACGGGAUUACGAUGGUAACAUAGAGGGCAAAAUGACUAAACUGUCAUUACUUGUUCCACCGAAAAAAGAACAAUUUCUAAUUUUUCUAACAUCUUCAAGGAUAUUUUUGGUAUAUCUAGUCAUAAAUUAUAAAAGAAAAAUCACAUGAGGGCAAUUUUCAUAAAAAUCCAUCGAUUUUGCAUUUUACAAAAAUGGAUCAUUUUUUUGAAGAGAAAUGAUUCGGUACUUUAAAAAAAAAAAAAAGAAAAAGAUCUUAACCGUUGAUUAAUAGAGGGUAAAAAUGUAACUUUAAUACUUAGUAGGUAAAAGGAUUAUUUUAUUCAAGGUUAGUUUGGUAAUUAAAUAAUAUAAUAUUUAAAGAAACUUUUAAUUAAUUGAGGUCCUAAAUUUAUGCAUUAAUUAGCACUAAUUUAGGAAAUUAAUUGAUUAACUAAAUUUAUGCAAUUAUUAGGCAUUAAUUUAGGAAUCUACUUUAAAUGUUUUAAUGUUUCUCAAAUUAUGCAUUAAUUUAAAUUAUAGAAAUUUUAGAAAUAGUUUUAUUUCUAAAUACGAUGAAUUUAAAUUUUAAAAAUUAAAUACUUAAAAUUUAAAAGUGAAAUUUAAAUUAGAGGAAUUUCAUAUUACUAUUUAAAAACUAAAUUUCUACCAAGAUUUAAAAUACAGUUUAUUCGCACCAGUUUAAAACGUAAUGCAUAAAAAACUUAGAGAGUAAGAUUUCUACAACUAGAUUUCUCUAGAGGAAUUUCAUAUUACUAUUUAAAUUUUAAAUUCAAUGAUUUAAAAACUAGAUUGAACCGAUUGAUUUGACUGAUCAGACUUUGACCUAUUCUAUCAAGAAUCUGAUUUUAACCUAUUGAACCGAAUAACAUUAAGAACAAUUUGGAACCGGUAAAGAUAAUAAAUAUUUUAAACAGAAUGAUAAUUUAACUGUUAGAGCUAAUAAAUAUUUUAAAUAUAAUUUUAAACAUAUAAAUUAAAAAGAUUAGAAUUAUUGGUGAGAAAAAAAAUAGUUAGGAAUUUGAAUUCGAAUCUGACUAACAAUCACAAAACUUAUUUCCGAACUCGACGGAUUUCAAAAAUCCAUAUCCAAAUUCAAAACUGACCAAUUUUUCGAAACCCAAAACCAAACCUAAACCAGAAGACUAGAAUUCAAACAAUUAUUUCUGUUUACCAUAUUUCAAAGUAUUUAUAUGAAACUUAAAUUUUUAAAAUAUAAAUUUGAAUAUAAUAUUAAAUUUUAAAUUUAAAAGUGAAAUUUAAAUUAGAAGAAUUUCAUAUUACUAUUUAAAGUUUAAAUUCAAUGAUCAUAUUGUCAAAUCAUUUGAAAAUUUUCUUAUAUGAAAUGCCAAAUUAUGAAAGGAAAGAUAGAGUGAGAAAAAGGAAACAAAGAAAAAAUAAAAAUUUUGAAAAUAUAGUAGAUGUAAAAUGACUAAAUUGCCUAUGUAUUAAAAGACAAAAAUAUCCUUUUUUGAGGUACCUGGUAACCGGUACCUCUCCCUAAGUGACCUACUAUUGCAGGUCAUAAUUUUAAAAAAACUAAAUCUAAGCCGUUGAAUACGCGUGAAUGAACGGUAACUAAAAAAAAAAAGUAUAGAAGCAUUACUCUUUUUUGAAUUUUGCAUAUUAUAGUUAAUUGAUCAAAAUACUCUUAUUUCUCUUUUUCUCUCCUUUCUCUCCUAUUCAUUUUUUUCUCCUAUCUCUUUGUCCACUUUCUCUAUAUUCUCUCUCGUUUGUUUUUUCCUGCCUUUUCGUUCUCUUUUUCUCUCUCUUUUCUCUCUUGUUUAUUUUUCUCCUACCUCUUCUUCUCGCUCCUUCUCGUUGUCCCUUCCUUUCCUUAUUUUCCCGCUUCCUUUCCCCUCUCCUGCUCUUCUAUCGCCUCUAUGUUAACGCCACACUCUUCUCUUCUACAUCGUUUACACUUCUGCUAAUGCUGGCGAUGGCGACGAGAAUUUAGAGAUAGCACAGAUCGCGGAGGUGAGUCAGCAGUAGAGGGCAUGGCUAUGGAUGGUGACGAUAAGGGUGCCAUAGGAUUUGAGAAUAAUGGGGAGGCAAAGAAAGUAGCACUAUUUGAGAUUAAGCUAUCAAAAUCUGUGGCACUCUGGUCAUUAAUUAUCUUACCUUUACAAUCUUUGUCAUAUUCAAUCUUGCGUCGUCGUUGUUGGCUUCAGUGGAAAUAUAGAUGAGAUAGGAGAGAGGAGCGUGGCAUCGACUUGGGUUUGAUGGAGGAGGAGGAUAAGAAAGUAAAAGAAGAAAGAGAGAAAAGAACACCGAAAAAAUGGGAGUGGAAGAGGGAGAAGAAAAACGAACGAUCGAGAGAGAGCAAGGAGAGUGAAAGAGAAAUAAAAAUAUUUUUAUCAAUGCACUGAUAAUUAAUAAUUAAUGUUUAAAACCUAAAAAAAAUGAUCUCAUUUUGUAAAAAUGCAAAACCAAUGAAUUUUUUAUGCAAAUUGGUCAUCUUUUAUAAUUAUAAAAAUAUAUAAAAUUUUAUUUUAUAGAUUUUAGUUAUUUGUGGCCCUAGGAGGUUAAUUUAUUAAAUUGGAGAUUACUUAUAUAUUUUUAUAUGUUUACAAUUGUAAUUUAAAGAUUCUAGACAUAUAUAAAAAUACAUAUAAUUAUAGUUCGAAUAUUAUAAUAGUUCGUUAUAUCCUUAUUUUUAUUGUUCGGAUGAGAAAUUUUUUGCUUUAAUUACAAUUAGGUAAUCAAAGAGAAAAAAAAAAAAGAAGGUUAAAUCAAAUCUCCAUGUUAUCCACAUGGCUAUACACACUCUUUAUGCAUAGUGAUUUAAUCCCAAACUUUAUUAUGGAUUCUCCUAUUUUUUAGUAGUUUAAAUCAGUGCAUACGUAAAGCUUUAUCUUUUAUUAUAGUUUUUGAUUUGUCCUCUAAUUCCAAAAAGCAAACUCGAAAUUUUGGCUGCUUUAAUGAUCAGCAUAUUCAAUUUCUCACUACUUUUUAUGUUACUCCCUUUAUUCCUAACACAAAAAAAGAAGAAGCACAAUAGCUAGCAUAUAAUUAUAGGAUGAUUAAUUAUUACAUAUUAAAUAGAGAAUGGCAAAAUAGAUAUUUCAAGAUAUAUGCUCCCAAUCUAGCCAAAUUUGUAAGUUUAUUGUGGAGUAUCGACAUAUAUAUUGCCAAACAGCAUUGAACCAAUUCAAAAACUUAGAUAAAUACUAUUUGUACACUAAAAAGUUGGGUGUAAAUUUUAUAUUCUUCCAUCAAGGAAUUUAAACGCUCGUUUAGAAAUUUUAAUAUUUUUAAAAGAUUAAUAAGAUUAAAGUAAAAAAAAAUUACUGACCGUUCCUAAUGCAACCAGCAAAGAGUUUGAUGGUUGAUACUCGAAAUUCUAAGUUCGAAGACUAGUUGACUCACAUUUUCGGUUAAAUUCAAAUUUACAUUAAUACUUUUGACUAAUCGGUCUAUAACGCCUUAUCGGCUGUAGACUUAGUAUUUCUCAUUAAUAAAUGUAAAUAUACAACUUAAUUUGAUUUAACACAACUGCAAUUAUAUGGCCGACUGUUCCUAGCGCAAGUGGUAAAGGGCUUGAUAGUUGGUACUCGAUGUCCCAAAUUUGAAUCCUAGUUAAUUUAUAUUUUCAGCUAAAUUUAUUUUUUUUAAAAAAUAAAUUAAGCGGAUAGGAUGGUACCUUUUUCUCAAAAAAAAAUACAACUGCAAUAUCAAUUCCAUGCAUGGCAAGCGUGGGGACCCAAUCAUAACUAAACUUUUCAUAAUACAUGUCUUUGAUUAUUCUCAUCCUAGUUUUUGGAAGAUGAAAGAAAAUCAAAUCUAGCUCAUCCUAUAUAUAUAUGUAUGAUCUGUUCUCCAAAUAAGCAAUCAAAAUUAACAUAAACCAAUGGAAUCUGAUAACUAAUGGAAUGACCAAACACUGUAAUGUUUACGACUAACACAUUAAUUAGUUUGUGUUUGUACAUGUAUACCAAUCACACUAUUGUAUCCAAAAUUUUCAUGUAAAAAAAAAAAAAAAAGGGAAAAAUUUGAUCUUAUCGUUCGAUCACUUAUUAAAUGAUUGAGUUGGUCUCUUUAUCCCCCUAAAAUCCAUAGAAUCGACGCACCCAACACUACCACUGUGCCCAUUCAACAUCUUAAGCAACCUUGUGGCCCUCUCCUUUGUCUCCCCACUACACCCCACCUGAAGCAGCAGCAGCAGCUUCUGAAAAGCCCCCAGCUGUAGAGCUUCUACUAUCACGCCCUCUCUCCUCCUCUUCUCUUCUUCUUCUUCUUCUUCUUCUUCUUCUUCUUCUUCUUCUUCUACUACUACUUCUCCUUCUUGUACUUCGCCAUUAGAGCCCUUGAACAGCUUGUAAAGCGCCGAGACGACGAGCUCCGUCGCCAUGUCCGAUACCCGGAACAUCUUCUUCAGCAAGACCGGCACGGUCAGCGCGUGAUCGCGCGACUCCGCCUUCGCCCUCGGGGAGCUCAGCACCGCGUCGAGCACCGCGAGCGCCCUCUCGCAGAAGCUCCUAUCGGCGUCGACGAGGGCUUCGAGCAGCAACGGGACGAGGCCCAGCUCGGCGAACCUCGCGGCGGUGCGCUUGUCGUAUGCGACGAGGCGGAAGGCGGCAACGAGGGCCGCCUUCGUCGCUUGCGCCGAUAUGGGCCUCUUGAUGAGGCUGAAUAAACCUUCCACUAGCCCGUCGGCUUCUGCGGCACGCUCUCGGCUCGACGACACGAGGAGUUGGUUGAUAAGUAACGCUGCGUUGAGCCGCGCCGCCAGGCCGCCGGAUUUUAAGAUCUCCACGAUCGAUCGGAGGGCGCUCGGCGAGCCGACGGCGAUCACCUGGAGAGUCUCUUCGUUGAGCGGUGACACGGAUAUUAAAGCUGACAGGAUGCCCUCGAGGGGCCCCGGUCGGGCCGAGCUCCACAACACGAAAGCCUCGGCAAGCACCCGCCCCGCGCCGUUCCCCACGAAGCACCGCCGGUUCCGCUCGCUCUCUCCGACCAAGCCUUUCACUUUCGCCGCCAAUUCGGAGGCCCGGGACUCGUCACGCGCCCCGCCAGAGACAUCGGCGAUCUCCGAUAGGAUCUCCGUCACCUGGGCGGCGGUCACCGGGAUUUUCGGGGUGGGGAUCCGCUCGAUCCCGUAGACCGAGCGGUUCGCGACGCACCAAUCCUGGAUCACCCUCCGGAGCGAGUGGUUCGGGAUGAGCUCCGGUUCGGAGCCAAUGUCGCGGUUCGUGACGGGGCAAGUGGCGUUGCCCAUGUCGAGCCACGCCUCGAUGCUCCGGCGGUCGUAGGUGAUCCCCGACGGGGCCGUCACGGGGUCCCUCAUCAAGUCGAGAGAUAUCGGGCAUCGGAAGUGGGCGGGGAUCGGCGGCGGCUCCAAUUCCUUGAAGCCGGGUUUGCGGGCGCGACGCAUCGACGCCAUGAUCGAUUCAACACGAGAGGGAGAGAGAGAAAAACUUCUCUUCGGAGGAAGAGAUGUUUAUGCAGCAGUGUAGAGGAAGAGAGUUUAUGAAGGGUAUAAUCAAUGGCGGAGCAUACAUAAGUACACGGCUUAAUUAGGGGUAUAUAUUAGAUAUUAUAUAUAUAUAUAUAUGUAUGUAUAUAAGAAUGAUUCAAAGGGAGAGGGGAGGAGGAGAGAAUUGGAGAGGAGGGGAAGGGUUUGAUUUGAAUGUUGACCGUUGAACGUUUGAAUUUGUAAACCGCGGGGGGGAAACGGUAGAGGAGUGUGAAUAUAUAAUUACUACGUUUACCUUAUAUUAUACAAAUAUGAAAGCAUAUGCAUAGAAAACUCCCCCAACUUUUUUCUAUUGUGAAAUCCCCCCUCAACUUUAUUUUAUCAUAAUCGGCUUUCGCUUAUAUUUUAAUUGUCUUCAAAUUGAGUGAAUUUAAUUAAUUAAAUUCAAGAGUUUAUUAAUUUAUCGGUGAUUCCACUGCAUUUAAUAAUUUAAAUUAGUUUUUAUUUAAUAAAAUCAUAAUAAAUUGAUAAUUAAUUUCUUAACAGAACCAUUAAAUUUGCUAAAAUUCUAAUUAACUUUGAUAACUACAAUUAGGAAUAAGUGGGUGUUGAUUAAAAAGAGAAGCGUAUCAGCCGAGGUUCUUAUUUUAUUACACCACAUAUAUAAUUUGGUGUUGAAUAGAUCUAGUAAGAACGUGCAACAUUUUAAUUUUUUAUAAUCCACAUAAUUAAUGAUAAUAUGUAAAGUUUGUCGAUCGAUGAUUUACAUUUUAUCACUCUACAUAUAGUUUACAAUUAUUGCACUUUUUUUUAUUCUAUUUAAUGAUAAAUUAUAUUUAAAUUGUCCUCUAAAAUUCCGUUUGGUUUGGAGAUAAUGAAUAUUAGAAUAAAUUUUUUUAUUUUUGAGAUAUUUACUAUUCCAAAAUAGUCAAAAAUAAAAGUAAAAAAUUGUGUCCGGUUGAUAAUGCCGCUAUACGCAGGAAUAACAAAAAUUAUAUUUAUUUAAUUUUAUAAAAUAUAGAGGAUAGUGAAAAAAAUAAUAGUUAAAUUUUAUAAAAAAUAUUAGUUUAAUAAAAAUAAUUUAUGAUAAAAAUAAUUUAAUAAAAUAAUUCAUUACAACAUUUAAUAAAAUAAUUUACUAUAAAAAUAUUUUCUUUUUCAUAUUCUACUUAAACUUAAAUUUAACUUAUUUUAAUAUUUAAGUAUAAUUUAUUAAAAUUAUAAUAUGUAAUAUAUCGUGUCUAUAUAAUUUAUUUUAAUUUAAUUUAUAAUCUUAAAAAAAUAGAAUUAUACUUUGAAAUUAUACUAUUCUAUAAAAAAAAAAUAGAAUAAUUUAUCCCAAUUUCUUCCGGAAUAAUGAAAUAACAGAGUCUGGCCAAAAUAUUUUAUUUCGACUAAAAAGAAAUAUUUCAUUUGAUUGAAUAGUUAGGAUAACUUUCAUUAUUUUUCACUUUAUUUAUGAACCAAAUCGGAGCCUUGAAUAGUAAAGUAUAGUAUUUCAAGUCACUUAUUAAGAUAGUGUUUAGAUUAAGUACAAGGGGGGCGGGCGGAGGGGGGGAUAAGAGUCGUAUCUCCCCUGUUGUAGCCAAACACAAAUCUUUUGGGGGGGGGGGGGAGCGUGCCCACCCAAAAGGUUCGUAACAACUUGUUCCCACCCACCAAGCUUGUUUCCACCCAUCCCCGUUGCUAGAGAGAGAGGGAGAGAGAGAGAGAGAGAUUUUUGUUAUAAAUUAAAAUUAAAAUUUAUAAAAUUUAAUAUUUGUAAUCUAAAAAUUGAAAUUUAUAAUUUAAAAUUCUAAAUUUCAAAGUUUAAAUUUUAAGUUUGAUAUUUUAAAUUUUUUAAUUUUAAAUUUGAUAUUUUAUAUCUUUUUAAAAUUUAAAUUUGGUCUUAAAUUUAAAAUUUAAAAUUUAAAAUUUUAAUAUUAAGAAUUUGAAAAUUUAAAAUUUAAACUUUAAUUUUAAAUUUUAAAAAUUAAAAGUUAAAAAUUUAAAUUUAAAAUUAUAAAUGUAAAAUUUUAAAUUUUAAAUUCAAAUAUAAUGAGCAGGGUACGUAAUAUCAUUAUCUUCUAUUUAUAACUAUCCGCUAUUCUUCUUAUUCCAUCUUAUCAUUCAAAUACUAAUUUUUUUAUUCCUGAGAACAACCUAAUUUCAUAUAAAUACAAAAUUGGUCUAGUUAUAGCUUAUAUCUGAACUUGUACAUGUUUAUGUAAUAAUCAGUUUUUACUUAUAUCCGAACUAAACGAAGCCUAAGAUGAAAAAAUAUAAAUGCACUAAACCACUUGAGGCUAAUGAAAAUUUAUUCUAAAAAUAGAAUACUAACACAGGCCUCCCACAGCAUUGAACAUUGAGCGAUACCAUGUAAAGGAUCGUGAUUGAGUAAUGCACUCAAUCCAAAAGUGCCACGUAGGAUUCUAACAAAUGAAUAACAUAUAACUACGUACAAGAUCGCAAAAGAUGCAUAGAGAAUUUUCCAAAGAAAUAAAAAUUGGAUAUGGUUUAAUUGGGUCCUAAACCAUGUAUUAUCGAUGUGCUGAUAAUCUAACUAAUGCCCCAUUAUGAGAGUGCAUGAAUCGACCAAUCAAUUAAAUCCCUUCUCGUUAUUUAUAGCACUACUCUAAAAAAAAAAAAUUUCUAUGUUUGGUCCUCAAGCUAUGAGGUCCGUAACUUUAAUUUAUUGUAGUUUCUGGGUCAAACAGUCAAAAUUAUUAUAACCAAAUUUAAUUGACUAAAUAUUAAUAUUUUGCUAAUAUAAAAGUGAUAUACCAGAAUUGCAAUAGAUAAUAUGACAAUAAUUAAUAUGGUACAUUAAUUUUGCUCUAGUGAUACGUCAAUAUUCAAUCAACUAAAUUAAAUCGUGGGACUUAAUUGUAUUGAAUGUUUAAGCCAUAGAUUAAUAAAAUUUAUUAAUUAUACAAUCUUUUUGGGCUUAUAUAUUGCAAAUAGUUUUAUAAAAGCUUCAAAACACACCCAAAAAAAUUAUUUUUUUGCAUUCUCACAUGCAUACAAGUAGAGCGAAAAAAAUAAAGUUCGAUUUAAUUUGUUCUUCGAGCAUCCUACUUAAAUAUCAAAACUAGAUGAGAGAGUUUUUGUUCUAUAUAUAUAUAUAUAUAUAUAUAUAUAUUAAUUUAAGUUUCAUAAAAUUAUGCGAACAACAUCCGAUCGAAACAGUUGAUUUAUUAGUAAGGUCACUGGAGCAGGAGGAGAGAGAUCUAUUAAACUACUCGAAAAAAAGUAAGGGGUCGAUCUUUUUGUCAAAUUUGAAAGCCUGUUUACAAAAGAGAAAGAGCUAAGGUCCACGAGAUCUCCAUGGGUGCAUUUCUUCCAAAAAAAAAAAGAAAAAAGCUGCAGAAGGAUCUAUUUCAAACGCGGAUUGGUGAGGGCGAUGUCAGUACAAAUAAAGAAAUUGGCACAAAUUAAGUGACGACCGGGUUUUGCAUUCGACCGCGGUUGACGUCGAAGACAUUGAUGAUGAUGUGGUGCGUCAACGUCUUAUCAAUUAUAUAUAUAUAUAUAUAUAUAUAUAUAUAUAUAUAAUUAUAUAUAGGCUGGGGCUACUUUAUUCAUAUGAGUAUAGAGUCUUUUGUACUUAUAACUUUUUGACCGUUCAGUGAUGAAAAACAAUGUGGGUUGGGAUGAAAGUGUUACGGUUAGGUGAUAGUGGGUGGUUGGUUGAAUAGUAUAACCUAACGGAUAAAAAUGAUUAAAGGGUAGAACAAACGUAAAAAAUUUAUGAGUACAAAAGGCUCUAUACUCAUAAGAUAUAGUAGCCGGACUCAUUAUAUAUAUAUAUAUAUAUAUAUAUAUAUAUAGAAUUAGGCUGGAAUACUAUUAAUAGUAAAACGCUCUUUCAAUCCUUGGAUGAAAAUUAUAGGGUCAGGAUAGUCGGUUAGAGUUGAGUAGUCCUCCUGGGUUGAGUGGUCCCCACUGAAUUAUAAUAUUUAAUCCAAUGGUUAGAAAUAAUGAAAAGAGUUGAUCCUAAGGCUAAAAACUGAUAGCAACAAUAAAAUUUUGCUACUAAUAGUAGCCCAGUCAAACUAUAUAUAUAUAUAUAUAUAUAUAUAUAUAAUAUAGUAUAUAAUAUAUAAUAUAUAUAAUAUAUAUAUAUAUAUAUAAAAUAUGUGUAUGUCGGUGAACCGGUUCGGCUUGAAUUCGCGGUUCCUCGUUCUCACCCGACGUACACGUCACACUCAAUUUUGUUUUGUUUUUUUCUUCGUCAUGUUUUUUUUAGUUGGUCUUAAUGCAAAAAAAAUUGGGGGCAUAACAAUAACGUGGAUUCACGCGUCUAAAAUUUUCUACGUGUUUCAUUAGAGAAAAGAGAAAAAGUAUACAACGAUUCCUUAUGUAUAUUAAGUUUUGGCUCUUUCACCGACCGUCCCUAGAGCAAGUGGCAAAGAGUUUGGUGGUUGGUCUCGGAGAUCCAAGUUUAAAUUUUAGUUGAUUCAUAUUUCUAACUAAGUUUAUUUCUAAAUAAAAUAAACGAAAUGAAUAGCAUACUACCUAUUUCUCAAAAAAAAAGCAAAAGAAAAAAAAAAACUUUUGGCUCUUUCACGUCCAUGCACCUCUAAUUUAUAAGUUCGGUAAGCCUUAUUAAUUAUACAUUUAGUGUGGUCCUAUAUCUUGCAUAUAAUCUCAAAAAACUCAAAAACACUAAAAAAAUUUAUUUUUUAUGAAAAUAUAGAAAAAAAUAACCAAAAUUAAAUUUUGGGUCGCCCUAAUUUUUAAUUAUUAUACUUAAUUAUCAAAAUUGAAAAAGAAAAAGUAAGGUUUUUUUUUUAUUUUUUUUAUUUUUUUUCUUAUACUUGUAUGGACUAGGGAUGCAAACGGAUCCGGAUUGGUGGAACUCCCGUCCCGAUCCGGCCCGAUGGGGGGAGUACAUGAGAGAAAAUAAACGGAUUCGGGGCGGGAAAUAAGAUAAAUUUUACGAUUCGAAAUGGAUUCGGGGCAGGAAAUUGGAGAAAUUUUGACCCGCCCCGAACCGCCCCGCCAUGAUCCGCCCGAAUCCUCCCCGAAAAUUAUUUAUAUUUUUAAAAAAUAUUCCUAAAAAUAAAGUAUUUACAAAAAAAUUCAAAAUACAAAUAACUUAGUACUCUCAUUUAUAAUGUAUUUAAAAUUUUCAAAUUUUAUUUUGAAUUGUGAUUGAUAUUUUUUAUUUUUAUAAUUAAUAUUAUUAAAUUAUAUAUAUAAUAUUAUUNNNNNNNNNNNNNNNNNNNNNNNNNAUAGUAGCCCUACUAUAUAUAUAUAUAUAUAUAUAUAUAUAUAUAUAUAUAUAUAUAUAUGGAGCUGAGCUAGAAUACUAUCGGUAGCAAACAGGCUCCGUUGCCACCCAUUUGUUUUCGGUAAUGGAGCCUCCAAAUCGACGAUCGGCACCGUUGAACAUGAUGUAUACCACUUGAAAUGUUUAGAAAUCAAAUUUCAAAUCUUUUCGACAUCAUUUACCUAAUGAUCAAAGGGUUUCAAAUUUUAUAAUUUUAAUGGUCGAUAUGAGGUGUUUUCUCGUUUAACAGCGUAAAGAUAUCCAAAUCAAUUGAAUUUUUGUUAGAAAAUUCUUUAAACUAUUUAAAAUAAGAUUUAUACUCGUGAUCUUGAUUACAAGACUCCUAUCAUCAUUUUUUAAAGAAUAUUCAUUUUCAGCCGUUCAUUUUUUUGUUCACUCGAUAGAUAAGAGAACAAUAUCGAACAUAUAUUAAAUUUGAAUUCUAAACACUUCAAGUGGUUAUAGAUCUGUUACGGAUCGAUCGUCGCGAUUUGGUGGCUCCUCAGAGACGAGCCAGAAUUCAAUGACAAGGUGGGCGCCCAAAAUAUGUCAAACUAAAAGUUUAGCAGUUAAAUAAAAUUUUAACUACUCAAAUUUUUAAUAAAAAUUUUAGUAUUAGAUAAUUAUGUUAAAAUAUAUAAUUUAUUUCUUUAAUUUACACUCGCAUUAACUUCUAUUAUUUUAUUUGCAUUAUUAUUCAAAAAUUAUAUUUAAGAAUUUUAUAAAUUAUCGAUAGCAAUUUAGUUUAGAAUUUAUUUUGUAAAAUUUUUGUUAUAAAAUAAUAACAACAAUGACUAAUCUAACAGAGCUUUAAUAAUUUAGCAUACUAUUUGAUUUAGUUAACUAAAUUUGCUAUCAAUAAUGGAAAGUUAAGAAUGUAUAAAUAAAUAUUUAAGCUUGAAAACUUAUUUCAAAAGCACUAUAAUUACAAGGUUUUAAUUAUUUUGAACCUAUAAACCCAAUAAGAGAGAAUGAGAGUCGCUUAUAUUAGCAUAAAAACUUUUUACAAAAUAUGGCCUGAUAUAUGUUUAAAUUAUUGAGAAUAUAUAUAACUACGAAAGGACUAUAAAGUAAAUAUUGAAAAAUUGAAGAGGCCAUGGCUGCUUUGGGUAUAUAUGGGCGUGUCCCUAGUUAGCCUAUUGGAGUAUUGGCCACAAGCCAAUAUUCUUUUCAAAAAAAUUUUACUUUGGUCUCCCUAAAUUACAAUAUUUUAAUUUUUUAAUUAGCUUAUAGUCUAGUGGAUUUCUAUAAUUUUUAAAAUGCUGGGGCGGGGGGGGGGGGGGGGCGCCAGCCAUUGUCGGUCCCACAUGCUCCGUCCCUUGUGGCUCCAUCAUCGAAAACAAAUUGUGGCAACAGAACCCGUUUGCUAUCGAUAGUAUUCUAGCUCAACUCUCUCUCUCUCUCUCUCUCUCUCUCUUUAUAUAUAUAUAUAUAUGAAGAGAAAUUUUUUUUAAAAAAAAAUUAAGCCAAUAGCAUGCUAAAAUUAAUUCUCUUUCUCAAAAAAAAAAAAAAAAAAUUUGUCUUUUAUUCGAAACCUUGCAGGGUUAAGCAAUAAUUUGCUAUUUUCCAUCCCUUUCUAAAAAAUAAUUUUAGGUCAUGCAACUUUUGUUGAGAUCGGCAUAUUUACAGUAUUGUAGUGUUAACAUAAAAUAUAUAGAAAAUUUGAAUAAAGUAUUUGAUCAAAUUGUAUUUUUUGGGUGAUAAUUUUAUACUUAUUAAUUCCUAUAUAUGAAGUUUUGGUGUUACAUAUGAACCGUAUUCGCUUGCAAAAAAUUUUAUUUUUUUUACAAUUUAGAAUUUAUAAUUCAUAUAGAAUGACAUAAAAUUAGAAUAAAAAUAUAAAAAGUAAUAAAUGGUAUUGAACAUAAUAAAAUGCUAUAUAGUUUUUCAAGUAUUGGUGAUUAUUUUAUAUAAGAAAAGUAAAUCCUAGGGUUAAUUACACUUUUGGUCCUCAAACUAUGAGACGUGUGAUACUUUACUCAUACAACUUUAUUUCGUUGUAAUUUCUGGCUCUGACUAUAAGGUGCGCGACACUGGGACAUUGUAGUUCUCGAACUUUAAUUAGUUGUAAUUUUUAGCUCAAACAAUAAGCAUGUGAUACUUUAGUCCUUGAAUUUUCUAAAUUAUUUUAAUCAAGUUCCACAAUUCAAUUUUUUUGAAUAAGUAUUGAUAAUCAAUUACUAAUACCGAAGCAAUAUAAUAAUUUAAUUAUUAUUGUAUCAUCAAGUAAAAUAUUAUUAAAUUUAUAAAAUUUGAGAAUUAAAAUGUCACAUACUUUAUAGCUCGAGCCAGACAAUGCAACGAAUUAUAGUUCGAGGAUUAAAUGUCACGCGAGUCAUAGUUCGAUCUAGAAAAUACAACAAAUUAAAAUUAAAGGACUAAAGUAUCACAUGUCUCGUAGUUUGAAAACCAAAAGUGUAAUUUACCCUCAAUCCUGACCGGUCAACUAAGGAAAUAUAUUUAUUUGCAAACUCUAUAAUUUUGGAAGAAUAUAUCUAACAAAAAAAAAUUGUAUGAAUAUAUUUGUACUUUUAUUGCUUUGGAGGAGCCUGUAUAUAUAUAUAUAUAUAUAUAUAUAUGUGUGUGUGUGUGUGUGUGUGUGUGUGUGUGUGUGUGUGAAAAUGACUUUAUUUUUUUAGGUACAUGUGGGAUUCUUCUAGAAGGAUAGGCCUACUUUUUAUGUUCGAACACCAAAAAAAAAAUAAUCCAAUUUUGAGAGAAUAUAUCUAACAAAAAAAAUUUGUAUGAAUAUAUUUGUACUUUUAUGUUUUAGGUACGUGUGGAAUUCUUCGAGAAGGUUAGGUCUACUUUUUAUGUUCGAACACCAAAAAUGAAUAAUCCAGUUUUCGAAUAAUAUAUCUAACAAAAAAAAAAAGUUUGUAUGAAUAUAUUUGUACUUUUAUUGCUUUGGAGGAGUAUAUAUAUAUAUAUAUAUAUAUAUAUAUAUAUAUAUAUAUGCAAUUGACUUUAUUUUCUAGGUAUAUGUGGGAUUCUUCUAGAAGGUUAGGCCUACUUUUUUUUUUGGAUUAAUUUCAUAUAGGUCUCUGUAAAUAUAGUGAAUAGCAAAUAUAUUACUAUAAAAUUUAACUUUUACAUAUUAUCUCUACAAAAGUCCUGUUAUUUUUAAAUAUAUUCUUGUCGUUAGAAUCUGUUAGAAAAAUUUAGUUAUCCAUAGGUUAAAUACUUAAUCUUGAUUAGUUUUGACAUUUUUAUUCCUCUUAUAUUAUACUAUUAUGACAUUUGGAUGUACAUAUUUGUGAUGGUAAAAUUGAAAAUAUAAACGGUUCUCCAACGGUAACAAACCAGAGAGAUAUAUUUAAAAUAUUAGAACUUUUGCAGGCAUACAACAUAUGAAAGUUGAACUUUGUAGGAAUAUAUUUGCUAUUACUAUGUUUGCAGGGAUUUGUAUGAAAUUAAUCAUUUUAUUUCUGAACACCAAAAAUAGGAUAAUCCAAUCUUAACGGUGAAACAAUGCCCGGGAAAGGUUUUUUUAAUGGGAAUCAGAGUAAGGUUCUUCGUAGUUUGAGAUUGACAGUGAAAUGAAGGUCAAGAAUGAUGCAACCAAGUUUGAAAUCCUUCACUUUGAUGGGACAAACUUUGCACUAUGAAAGCUGAAUAUGUAAGUAGUGCUGGUAAAGGAUGAUUGCAAUAUUGCAUUGCAAAAAAAAGAGAGCAAGAGCCAAAAUGAAGGACAGAUAAAUAGUUAGAAGAGAAGGAUAAGAUGGCUUGGUUAACCUAUUUUUAGCAUUGGAUGACUACUAGAAUUCAAUGUGGAAACCGAGACUAUCUUGAAAGAGGUUUGGAAGAAAUCGAAGAACCUCUAUAAUGGAAUGUUAUUAGUGAAUAAAAUUUUACUGUGAUAACAAUUAUAUAAUCUCAGGAUGGGGGACAGGGUACCUGCUCAAAACACUUGCGUACAUUUAACUCUAUUAUGAGCAAGCUCACUCCUCUUGAUGUGAAAAUCGAUGAAGAAGAGAAGGCUAAUAUUUUGCUUUGCUCAAUGCUAGAACUUUGAGACAAUUUGAUGAACUUGAGCCACGCGGAAAUCCUUAAGAGAAAGUCACUUAUGGGAUCAUUUCUUACUGAUAAAAUGAGAAGUUUAGCCAAUAAAGCUUUUCACGGAAGGUUUUGGUAGUAUAGGAAAGACCUAUCAAAAGGAAGCAUGGUGAUAAAGAAAGAUCAAGGUUGAAAUCCAAGAGUUAAAAAGUAGUGUUAGAAUUAUAAAAAGUUAGAGCAUAUGAAGAAGGAUUACCAGGUGAAUAAGGGAGUUGAUGGUAAAUUCACAAAUCAAGCAAUUCACAACGUAAUGUAGCGGAAGCGGAUACUAGGUUUGCUACUUCGGGGGAUGGAAAUGCAUGGGCAGUGUUGGAGAGAUCCAAGGUUCUUUGCCAUUGGAUCUUGGAUUCGGGAGUAUCGUUCCCUGUGACUUCCUUUAGGGAGUGGUUUCAGAUUUACAAAUCAUGGGAUGGCAACGUCUCUACUUGGACAACAACCCGGCAUGUCCUGCAGUUAGAAUAAUAGAUGUUUGAAUCAAAAUGUUCAAUGGUGUUAUUCGGACGGUUUCUAAUAUUUGGCAUAUUCUUGCACUCUAGAAAAGUCUCCUCUUAUUUGAAAAGUUUUGCAAGGGCUGAGAUUCGUUGGUGAGAAGGAUCACUUGAUGAUGUGUCAAGGAUGCUUGGUGCUGAUGAAAAGGGAGCAAGUAGGUGGUCUAUAUAGAUUGAUGUGUGAGACUCAAGUGGAGAAGAGGUCGUGGGUAGCGCAAAGAUAGAGUCUCCAAUGAUGUAGUGUAAUCAUUUGGGAUACACGAGUGAGUGUAGGUAGUAUGUAUUAUCUAAUCGAGAGCUUUUUUUAGUGAGAAGGAUCACUUAACGAUGUGUCAAGGAUGCUUGGUGCUGAUGAAAAGGGAGCAAGUAGGUGAUCUAUAUAGAUUGGUGGAUGAGACUCAAGUGGAGAGGAGGUCAUAGGUAGUGCAAAGAUGGAGUCUCCAAUGAUGUAGUGUAAUCAUUUGGGAUACACGAGUGAAAGUAGGCUGUAUGAAUUAUCUAAUCGAGAGUUUUUUUUAGGUUACAAGUCCUCACCGCUAAGAGUUCUAUGAAGAUUGCAUUUACGGGAAGUGACGAAGGUUGUCGUUCUCUCUAUCACAUCAAAGGACUAAGAAUUUUUUCUAGUUGAUUCUCUCGGAUACUUAUGAGUCAUCCCACAGAUUGUUGGGUAGGUAUUCUUAAUUUAUCUUUUCAUUAAUGAUUACUCUGGGAAUGGUUGGUUGUACAUCCUAAAUCGGAAGUCCGACAUAUUUGAGACUUUUAAGAAGCUGAAGGCUAUUGUGGAAAAUGAAGGGUUUGAGAUUAAAUGCCUACAUUUUGAUAACGAAGGCAAAAAUUGCUCGAGGGAAUUUGGCUAGUUUUGCAGUGGACACUAGAUCAAGUGGGAUCUCACGAUACCUGAUACACUGCAGCACAACAAUGUUGUAGAGAGGUUGAAUUGAAUACUCAUGGAGAGGGCUUAUAGCAUGUUAAGUACUUCAAAGCUCAAUAAGAUAUUUUAGGCGAAAAGUGUGAGCACGGCUUGCUAGUUUCUAAACCGAGUGCCAACAAGAUCUCUUUAGUUGAAGAUCUUGAAAGAAGUGUGGAGUGGUAAGUCUAUUGACUGCCACCUAUUUUCAUGUCCUUGGAUGUGUCGUGUAUACAUGGAUUCCAAAGGAGAAAAGGUCAAAAUUAGAUAAAAACACUCAAAGAUGUGUUUUCUCGGCUACGAAAAAAGUGUCAAGGUUAUUAUUUGUAGGACCAUACUACUCACAAGAUUGUUAUAAGCUAUGACGUUGUCUUUAAUGAGGAGUCUUUUCAAAGUUCUAAGGAGAAGCAAGAUGAUGAUGCCAUAGUUUGAGUUGAGCACUUUGAAGCACUCGAUAAGCUGCAAUAUGAACAAGCACAACCAGACAACGAGGUGGUUGGUGAUGCCCGAACUUAGACUCUCCUCAAUCAUUCGAAGAUACAAGUUCAUCGUUGGAGCCACUAGUGAAUUCCGAGUGUCCUAAGAGGGUCAUUAGACCUCCUAAGCAAUAUAAUGACUAUAUCACUUCUUUUAUCCCUUCUGUUAACUAUGUUAGUGCAUAUGUCAAUUUGGCGAAGGAAAAUGAGGUGACUUUGUACAAGGAGGCUUGUUAGUAGGCCAAUGCAGGAAAAGGGCAAUGCAAGAUAGAGGAGGAGAUGUAGGAGUUUGUGAAAUUACCAAAAAAGCAGGAUGCGAUUGGAUUCCGGUGACUUUAUGAAGUGAAGGACAUAUAAGAGAAUUUGGAAAGGUUCAAGGCAAGAUUGGUAGUGAAGGAUAUGCUCACAAGUUAGGAAUUGACUUCAAUGAAAUCUUCUCACUGGUGGUUUGUCUGACAACUAUUUGAAUUGUUCUGGAGAUUGUGAUGGUCAUAGAUUUGAAGCUUGAAUAGAUGGAUAUUAAAAUGACAUUCUUGCACAAUGAGCUGGAAGAGGAGAUUCAUUUGGCACAAUCUAAAGGCUUUAUCGAAAAAAAUGGGGAGCAUCUAGUUUGUUGGCCGAAUAAAUCAUUGUAUAGUUUGAAAUGGACGCUAAAUGUGAAACAACCGUUGUACUCUAAAAGUUUAAGCUGUUAGAGAACAGUGUUUAAACAUUUUUAUAUUUAACACUCCCCCUCACGUUUGGGCUUGAGACUUUUUAGUCAGCCCAUGACGUGGACUUGAAUUAAAUGGGGGGAAAUUAAUAUGCUAGGAGUCUGACAUGACUCAAACUCAGGACCUCAUACUCUGAUACCAUGUGAAACAACUGUUAUACUCUAAAAGCUUAAGCUGUUAGAGAACGGUGUUUAAACAUUUUUAUAUUUAACACUAAACGCUGUUACAAGUGAUUUAAUGCCUUCAUUGUGAGUUUAGGGUUUGAUAGACUUAAGCAAAUAAUUGUGUCUUUUGUGGUUAUGAUGACGAGAGACUUUUGAAUGUCGACGAUAUGGUGGUCACAAAGAAUAGUAAGGGCUAUAUAUCUACUCUAAAGAUUUAGUUGGCCGAGGAAUUUCAUAUGAAGGACUUAGAAGCCAUGAACUAGAUACUCGGGAUGAAGGUACUAUGGGAGAGGAAGAAUAUAAAGGUCUUCGUUUCAUAGCAUGGUUCAGUAGAGAAGGUUUUGGUGUGCUUCAAUAUGCAGAACACGAAGUCAGUAUUUACCCUGUUUCGUAUUCACUUAAAGUUGUCCGGCAAGCAAUCACCCAGCAUGGAAAUGGAAAUGAUAAACACGGCUAGGGUACUAUUUCAUUGGCAAUAAAGAGUCUUAUGUUUACUAUUUUAUGCACGAGACUUGACAUUGCACAAGCAGUAGGAGUUAUGAGUCGUUAUAUGAUGAAUCCUAGUUGUGAUCAUUAGGCUGCAGUGAAGUGAAUCCUUCUAUAUUUGAGAGGGGUAACAGAUUUCUCACUCUAUUAUAAUUCUGUGGAUUUGGAGUGUGUCGAAUAUGUGGAUGCAGAUUUCGUAGGAGAUAGAGACAUGAGAAGACCUACCAUUGGUCUUGUAUUCUCCAUGAACGGUGGAGCUAUUUGCUAGGAGUCGAAGCUUCAGUCGGUGGCAUUGUCAAUGACAGAGGUGAAGUACAUAGUGAUGGCACAUGCUUAUAAAGAUGCCACUUGGUUGAAGAGGCUUUAUGGAGAAUCGAUGGUGAAAUAGAAUAUGGGGAGGGUGAAUUGUGAUAGUCAAAGUGGCUAUACCUGAUAAAAAAAUUCGGCGUUGCACUCUCAGACGAACCCCAGCGAUAUUCUAGCUCUAUUAUUAUGUGAGAGAAUGGUGGAGGAAGAUCCUAUCUUCUUGUUGAUGGUUCAUAUCGAUGCAAAUCAAGCGGAUAUAUUGACGAAACUGGUUAGUCGAGAGUAGUUCAAUUAGAGCAAGACUUCUCUUUGACUUAGAGCUAUGUGAGAAGUGGAAGGUUGACAAGGCCUCCGGAUUUGGCAAUUUAAUGGUGUUAGACAUAUGUCUUCAAGUAGGAGAAUUGUUGGAUCAAGUUAAAGCCACAUUCUGAGUUGAUUUCACGAUCAAGCGUCAAGAAAUAUGGAUUAUUGGAUGUAGGUUCCGAAACUCAAAAUUUAUGUUCCAAAACUUGGACUACAUUUGGGAACACAAGAGUAUGUUCGUAGAACCUAAAAGUGUGAAGUUAGGCUGGUGACUUAGGUUUUGGAACAUAGAACCAAGUUCCAAAACAUGACACUUUGAAAAGUGUUUGGUUCCAGAACGUCCUAUUUAUGUUCUCAAACCCAAAGUCGUGACGAACAAGUUGAUUUUAGUGCAAAUUCAAAUCAGACUAAUCUUAUUCUUUAAGAUUUGAGAUGGCCCAGGAUCAUCUUGUGAAAAGUUUUUAACCAGAGAUCAAUAGUUAGAAGUGAAUUGGGAGUCUCAGGUGGACGGUCGCCAUUUUUUCCUACUUGUUUUCUAUUUGGGGUUUUAUAAACCUUGUAAUCCAUGUUUAGGACUUUAGAGUUUCAUUGUAAAACCCUGAUUAGGAGAGAAAACAUAGUAGAUCUCCAUGAGAGAGAUUUCUUGUAUCCAAUCUAUAUUUGUACUUUGUCCCAUGGCUUAAUGAAAUAAAGUAUUGAGAUUGUCUUACUCGUUGACGUAGAUUAGCAUAGCAUUGGCUAAACCAUAUAAAUUCUCGUGUCCUUGUUUAUUUUAUUGCUUUGUUAUUCUUGCACUUAUUUUCUCGAUUGUUUUUGUCAUGGUUUCUCUACAUAAGAUCUAGUUUUUUACCGUGCUCGUGUGGCAUGAGGGUUUGAAGUGUGCUCGGUUAUCUCUCGGCUGGUUCCUUCAAGAUUGACUUGAAGACAUAAGAUAUUUGUUUAUACUACUUACCCUAUAUGUUAUAAGCUUCUUGAAUAAAUAAAAUAAAUGUCUUGAACAAGAUAUAGGGGGUGUUUGGCCUAACUUUUAAAAAGUGCUUUUGGGUUGAAAGGUGAUUUUCGGCUCAAUAGAGCGUUUAGCAACCUCAUUUUUAAAAUCUUAUUUUGUUUUUAAGAAUCAGAAAACUGAUUUUGAAGGCCCCAGAAUUAGAAGCAGAAAAAAGCUAUUUCUUGAAAUAUGAUUUUGAUUUUAAACUCAAACUUCAAAUUUUUAUUUUAAUUCUAAAUUAAAUAUUUAAAUUUAAAUUUAAGUUUAAAUUUCAAUUUUCAGAUUCAUUUUUGAAUUUUUAUAUUUUAACUUUCAAAUUUUAAAAUUUGAAAAAUAGAUUUCAAACUUUAAAUUUUAAAUUUCAAAUCUCAAAUUUUAGAUUUUAAAAUUUUAAAUUUCAAAUUCCAAAUUUCAAAUUUAAAAUAAAAUUUAAAAUUUGACAUUUUAGAUUUUAAAUUUAAAUUUAAAAAUUUAAAAAUUUUAAAUUUUAAAUGACAAGUUUUAAUCUUCAAAUUAUAAAUUUCAAAAAUUUAAAAUUUAAAAUUUAAAAUUCUAAAUUUUAAAUUUAAAUUUAAAAAUUUUAAAAUUUUAAAUUUUAAAUGACAAAUUUUAAAUUUUAAAUUUUAAAUUUCAAAUUCCAAAUUUCAAAUUUAAAAUAAAAUUUAAAAUUUGACAUUUUAGAUUUUAAAUUUAAAUUUAAAAAUUUAAAAAUUUUAAAUUUUAAAUGACAAGUUUUAAUCUUCAAAUUAUAAAUUUCAAAAUUUUAAAAUUUAAAACUUAAAAUUUUAAAAUUUAAAUUUUAAAUACUCAAAUUUUAAAUUUUAAAUUUUAAAUUUUAAAAGUUUAAAUUAUUUUUUAACUUAAAUAUCAAAUUUUAAAUUUCGUAUAAUUUUGAAAUUUAAAAAUUUUAAUUUUAAUUCAAAUUUAAAUUUAGAUUUUAAAUUAUUUUAAAAUAAAAUUUAAUAAAAAUAUUAAUUUAUGCAAAUAUCAAAAAAAAUUUUGCCAAGCAGCUUUUCAAAAUCACUUCAGAAAAAUUGCUUUCAUCUAAACUCAGCCAAAUGCUCUCCAGCUUUUAACCAAAAUCACUUCUCGAGACCAGAAUCACUUUUUCAGAAGCUUGGCCAAGCGGGCCCAUACAUUCAUCUAAACAUGGCCUCAAUGAAGUUUCACUUUAUCUCUCAAAGUUUCAAGUUCAAUGUUACAGAUCCUGUACUUUUACAAAAGUUCCAAUUUAGUUCAUGUGAAAUUUUCUACUAGAGGGCAAAUUACUGCAUAUAUUCAGUGAAUUUGUAUAUUUAUACACCCUAUAUUUAUCUACCUCUACCCAUUGGUUUAAGAUCUUUUUAUUUACAAAUUGAGCAUUAAACUAAAAGUUUGAUAUGGAUGAAGGACUGACGACGAACUUACAAUAUUAAUUCUAUAGUCACAUAGAUAAAUUAGAUGCAAGUAGCAAUUUUUUACUAAGUUACGAAUUAAAAAAAAAAAUUAUUAAAAGUCACUACAACAAAAACGGUAUAUAGCGACACUUUUAAAUAUCGGUAUAGGUCAAAAAAGUGCUGCUCGCUAAAUUUACCGACACUUUUGAAAAGUGUUGCUAAAUGUGGGGUCGCUAGAUAUAUAGUGACAAUUAAAGAGUGUUGCUAUAAUCUAAAAUAGUGCUGCUAAUUUACUAAUAUUUAUUUAAGCAUCUAGCAACCGCCGGAACUCUACCUCGUUGGCUGCGGUGGCGGAGGAGGACGAGAGGAAAUGAUCUUGGUCUAGAAUUUCAGUCGAUUGAGUGAGGAAAGAAGGGAAAAUGAUAAUCGAUUUUUCUUUUCUUUUUCUUUUCUUUUUCUUUUCUGUUUGUAAUCGGGCCGAAUGGGCUAAGUGGAGUGGGUUGAGUAGAGUACCCUUUUAUUUUUAGUUGGAUUGGACUUUAUAUUUAGGCAUUAGUAGGAUUUUUUUUUAAAUUUUGGCAUAAAUGUGACACUUAUACAAAAGUGUCCCAAACAUGUGUCGCUAUAACUUAAUUCUGUUGUAGUGAGUUUAGAAACUAAAUCAAAGCAUUAUUGAAAGGUCAUGACUCCAGAGUAAUUCGAAUUUAAUGACUUGAGAACUAAAAUAAAACUCGACUUACCUUUGUGCAACUAAUAUAUAGCUCAAUUUACCCAAUAUCUUAAUUUCCAAUGGUGGACCUAUUAGAGUAGGAAAUUGGACCCCUCCAUCUCUCUUUUGCUGUAUGGAUCAGCACAAAACUAAUAAUCAAACUUCUAUGAUUUUCUAGAUAAUUAAUCCGUGUAUCCUUUGACUGAAACCUACCUAUCAGAUUCCGUGUAAGUCAAUAAAAUAUAAUCAAAGCAUGCAUCCACAGCUAGUAUGUAUCCUUGUGGGUAUUUCUAUGGAAGUUAUUAGAGGUCAAAUGUUCAAUCCUUGAACCUUGCAACGACCACAGGUCUUGUCGUCUGAGGUUUUUCUAAGAGAAAGGUAGCGUGUUCACUACAACAGAAUUAGGUUAUAAGAACACAUUUUUAGAACAUUUUUAUAUAAGUGUUUCAUUUAUGUUAAAAUUUUUUUUUAAAAAAACUAUUAAGACCUAAAUAUGAAGCCCAAUCCAAUCAAAAACAAAAAGUUCUUCUACUCAACUAACCACACCCAGCCCACUCGACCCGAUUACAAAAAAAAAAAAAAAAAAAAAAAUGAUUAUCUCCCCUUCUCCUCCUCCGCCGACGUAGCCGACAAGGUAGGGUUCCGAUGGUUAGGGUUCGGCUGCGAGGAUCUCGCAGGGAUGGUAGAGGACUACGAUCGCCAGGUAUCCCUCCGCCAUAAGUCGCUGGAGGAGUGUGUGCUAAACAUUAAGACGGCCCUACCUAUAGUGAUCCUACAUAUAGCAGCACUUUUAAAAAAUAUCGGUAAUUUAGCCAGCAACACUUUUUUUUACCUGUACUGAUAUUUAAAAGUGUCGCUGUACACAGUUUUUGUUGUAGUAGUUAUUUGUUUUUUUUUUUUUUUUCAUAAAUAAACUUAAAGGAAAGCAACUAGCAUUUAAAUGUUGAAACCCCCAAAUACCAACCAUCAAGUCUUCUGCCACUUGCACUAGGGACAAUGAGUGUCGUUCUUGAGGUUGCAGAUUUGAUUCUCACUUUUUCUUUCAAAAGAUAGUGUCUCAUAGCUUAGGUAUUAAAAUAUGUACUAGAGGAUUCGGGUAGGGGUCUGACAAACUAAAAAAAUAAAAAAUAAAAAUCUUGCACUUUCUUGGCGAGGCAGCUGCUCACAAACAUCCUGAAAAAUUUUUAAAAAUAAGAUUACAAAUAGAAAUAAUGACAAAAAAAAAAUUCUUUACUGGAUGUUCAUGUCCAAGAUUCAAUUAUUUUGUGAUUACAACAUAAAAAAAUGUGAUAUCCCAAAUCAAAAGAACUUAAUUAGUACAAUAAUAAAGGAAAAGAAUCACCGGAAAUGAGCAUAGCGAAUAACUAAUUUUGAAAGAAUUUGUUGGGGGUCAAUUCACACAUUAGUGCAUUUUAGACUUUGUUGAUAAUAUUGCUAUAGCUGGUUAUGCUCUUUUGUAUGACAUGGUCGAUCAUAGAAUUCAUAAGACUCUUAACUCGAAGCUGGAGAGUGAGGAUCUGAAGUGCCCAAUUUGGAUAUUGAAAAACCAAAUUGAUCUUUUAUCCAGUUUGAUGAGUUUUCAAACAAAAACUAUGCGCAUUAUGUACUUGAAUUAGAUUUUUUUUUUUUUUUUUUUUUUUUUUAACGAAUAAGUUGCAAUCUAUUUCAAUAUACUUAAUCGCUCAUAAAAGACCGGAUUGGUAGCUAUUGUUAGAUUUUUGGUCACACGUACUUUUGUUAGAUAUUUGGUCCAUUAUUAUGACCUACAUGAUCAAAUUAAAAAAAAACUAAACUUAAUAUUUGAAUUUGAAAGGGCAAAAUUACCAAAUUAUUUACCCACUCACUGCAAUUGUAAUAUAAAAAUCCACAGCCACCCUUCCUCUUUCCUUUAUUCUCUCUCUUCUCUUUCUCUUACUAGAAACAAUGAUCCACCAUUCUUGGAGAGCUCCAAGCUUGGGAUUGAUCUUGUUCGAAGCUGGGAAAUAAUGAGGAACUUCAAGAAGAAGCUCUAUAAGGUUGAAGGCAACCCUCUCGACCCGUUUCUUCCAUACUUGGAGAAGACAGGUGAGUUUGUAAUUUUAGGGUUUGGAUUUUAGGAUUUACCCAACGGAGAUUUUUUAGUUUAAACGUUGGUAGAACCAUUUUUAGAAUUUUCUUUGAUUGAGAGAUCAAGUCCAUCUUUUUGGAGGAGAGUUUAGCAAAGGUGGAGAGUAUCACUGAAAAGAAUUUGAUCUUCCAUUUGUCCAUUGUUUUCUUAGAUUUUAUAGUAUAUUUCAUAGUUAUUAUUAAACUAAAUGGAUUUUAGUUGCAUGCUAGCAAAAGUACGAUUUUGAUCCCUUUGCAAGACAAUGAGACUUUGGAUACUUGCAUGCAUGUUUAAAGAGAACAUAAGAAAAUAGUUAAACAUGUGUGGCUGUAGCAUACUAGACUAUUGCAAAUUACAGUGUCAUAGAGAGAGGAAUAAUAUUUAAUAUUACUAUGGAGGUUUUGGCAGAGUUUAGAGAGCUUGAAGUGUUUUCGAGGCCUAAUUGGCACGAAAAUGGACUUCGAAUUAAUUAAACUAAAAUCUGGAAAAACUGUAGUUUUGACAUUAUUUACCAGUGCUAAUUGUGGUGUACUAGAACUCAGCUGAGGCUGGGUUAGACAGCUCUCGAGUGUUGUGGAACUCAACUGGGUACCGGUAUUGAUUCGGUGUGUACUUGAAUACAGUAGAAACCUGCAGAAUCCAACAUUCAGAUUCUGUGGAACUGGAUACCUGGUAUCGGAACACUUGUGCUCAAUUUCGUGUAUCGGUACUUAAAGAUGCAGAACCUAUUUUCGAGGUUGUAAUUUCUUACUCUUUGAGGGGCCUAAGUGGAUAUUGUUUCAACAUGCUUUAAGGCCCUUCACUCCUCUUAUCUCCCUUCAUUUGGAAGGUGCAAGAGAAGAGAAAGAUGUGAGUUUUCUCCUCUUUUCCAUAGAUUUUUUCCUCCAAUCUCUUCUAAUCUUUAGAUUUUUUCUCUUUUUCUUCAUCUCCUCCUCUAUGGAUGCUUACACUUAGGGCAUGUUUGGUUCAUGAUUGAAAUAGGAAUGGGAAAUGGAAUUGGAUUGCUUUGGAAUGGAAAAUGGAAUGACGAAUCAUCCAAAAAUGUUUGGUUCAUUAUUGGAAUGGAAAUCGGAAUGAAAUUUUAAAAUUUUUUAGAGAGGGUUUUGAUUAAGAGAGAGAAAAGUGAUGAAGGGAGAGGGGAUAGGUGUUGAUGAAAAAGAAUUUUGAAUAGUUUACUUUGGAAUGAACCAAUUCGGAAUUCAAAGCCGGAUUGGAUUAUAAAUGGAUUUGGUCAUUCCCAUUCCGGAGUGGAAUGAAAAUCGGAAUCCGAUUUCUAUAAAACAAACGGCAACAAUCGGAAUCAAUGAAUUCCAUUCCGAUUCCAUAGUCUAAAAUAGGUGAACCAAACAUGCCCUUAGAGUUUGAAAUAAGGAUUAGACUUGAAGAAGAGAGUUAUUUGGAGCCCUAGAUUUCAACCUUAACAUUUCUAAGGAAGGAUUGGGGUUUUGAUAAAGAUUAGUAAUCUUUCUUCAUCCUCUCAUUGAGAGAUUCAUGAAGAUUUUGGUAGAAAACUUAAUUU